UGCAGGGUACUUCCUGGGU
rnacentral:misc_RNA from 1 species